GGGGGGGCCGCUUCCAUGGCGGCGGGUGAGGAGGGUACGGCGCUUCCGCUUCCGGCGGGCAGAGGGCGGCAGGGCCCGGCCGCGCGUAGGCCGCGGCGGGCGGCCGGGAGAGAAGGCGAGAUGUGGCCGCCGCCGCUGCCGUGGCUGCUGGCGGGGCUGCUGCUGGCCGCCCGUUGCGGGGAGGCCGCGGUGGCGGCGGCCCCUUCCCCCCCCGGUGCUGCCACCGCCUUCCCGCGUCCCACGGAGGUGGCCGGCGGGGCCGCCACGCGAAGCAGCAGCAGCAGCAGCCGCCAGGCCGAGGUGUCGGCGCCGCCGGAGCAGGGCCAGCCCAUGACCCAGCGCGCCCUGUCCGUGCUGGUGCUGGCCAGCGCCACCCUCAUCGUCUACUUCGUGAUCCGGACCGUGCGGCUCAGAAGGCGAAACAGAAAAACCCGAAGAUACGGAGUUUUGGAUACAAACAUAGAAAACAUGGAGCUGACUCCAUUAGAGCAAGAUGAUGAUGAUGAUGAUACAACACUAUUUGAUGCCAAUCAUCCUCGAAGGGAUGUCAAGAUCACUUGAAUUUUAAAUGGGCAAGAAUUUAGUGGGCAAGAAGAUAAACUUCUUCAGCAUGUGAGUUCCAGAGAAAUGGAGAGGAAGGUACUACAUUAUUAAUAUGUUAAAUAGGUAUAUGCACUGUGUCUUCUAGUGCAGAGGAGGCUGUGUUGAGAAGUACGUGCCUUUCAGUGAAAGAACUUAAUCUUAGAACCAGAGAAGGAGACUGCUUCAUGGGAGGAAUAAGAAGCAAGCGAGUAUGCAAGUUGUGGGGGCUAAUUUAAUUUGUGUAUAUUAUGGCAUUCUUAAUUUGUUGCAAUAAACACUGUACCAAUUUGUUGUACUUUUUUGUAUAUAGAGGAUUCUAAAUGUAAAGCCUACGGAGAGUGCACUAAAAUGAAAAUCUAUUUGGAAGGGAGAUUACUUUUAAAACAGGGUAUUUUUUGCUUGUUACAAAUCUUGUAUGCCAUAAGUGUGGUAUACACUUUUUCUACAGUAAUCUGGAAUGUUAACAGAUUUUUUUUGCUGAUAUUAAACUGUAAGUAAGCAUAGCCUCUGUGGACUCCUCAGAGUUGUUCGAACUUGAUUUUAGUUGAGGAGAUGCUUUAUGCUUUACAAAUAAAAAGCCAAACUACUGCCUUUUGUCUUGAGACUUUUUUUAAACUGAAUUAAUGUGUUUUAUGUAAUUGAACAAAUAAAAACUGUUUACAGUG